AAUCCAGACCAAUUCAGUGAUGAAAUGAGGUUGUUUUGCACAUAGUCAGGUUAGAAGAAGUAGGGCUCGUCCUUUGAACGCUCAGCACUAUGUGUACUCAUCCAUGCUCGUGCUCACGAAGUGUCUCCACUGUGAGUAGAUUCACGCAUCGUUCCCUGGAAUGAAAUAAGGUCUUCUGAAAAUGUCCCACCUGGAAGGAAGCAGGAAAGUUGCACAGCGAGAGUUGACUGUCAAACAGCAAGUGUCAUCUGCCUCCUCCUCACCCUGUAACCAGAAGGCUGGGGUUAAAAGUGGGAGGGAAGAACAAGAGCUGAAUAACUGAGAGCACGAGAAAUUUGGCAGCUUCUGAAGUCUGUAUGUACAACAAAGCACUGAAUGACGCAUUAAGGCAGUGCACCUUAAUUGUAAAUUAAACACGGUAAAUUAUAAGAUAAAAGUAUUUUAGAAAUUAAAUCCACCCCGUAUUGAUAUGUUGCAUUAUCCUGGAGUGACCUAGGGCAGCCAAAUGUUCUUGCAGUCUGUCCUUGGCUCCUUUCACAUUAUACAA